rnacentral:rRNA from 1 species
UACGUAGGUGGCAAGCGUUGUCCGGAUUUACUGGGUGUAAAGGGCGUGUAGCCGGGAAGGCAAGUCAGAUGUGAAAUCCGGAGGCUCAACCUCCGAAUUGCAUUUGAAACUGUUUUUCUUGAGUACUGGAGAGGCAGACGGAAUUCCUUGUGUAGCGGUGAAAUGCGUAGAUAUAAGGAGGAACACCAGUGGCGAAGGCGGUCUGCUGGACAGCAACUGACGGUGAGGCGCGAAAGCGGGGGGAGCAAACAGG